UCAAUCCAGAGCAGUGUUUUCU
rnacentral:miRNA from 1 species